GGGCCAUAGCCCUGUGGUAGAGCUUCUGUUUUGCAUGCAGAAGGAACUAGGUUCAAUCCCUGGCAUAUCCA